rnacentral:rRNA from 1 species
UACAGAGGGUGCAAGCGUUGUUCGGAAUUAUUGGGCGUAAAGCGCGUGUAGGCGGCCAGGCAAGUUGGGUGUGAAAGCCCUCGGCUUAACCGAGGAAGUGCGCCCAAAACUACUUGGCUUGAGUACCGGAGAGGAUGGCGGAAUUCCCGGUGUAGAGGUGAAAUUCGUAGAUAUCGGGAGGAACACCAGCGGCGAAGGCGGCCAUCUGGACGGAUACUGACGCUGAGACGCGAAAGCGUGGGGAGCAAACAGG